UACGUAGGGUCCGAGCGUUGUCCGGAAUUAUUGGGCGUAAAGGGCUCGUAGGCGGUUUGUUGCGUCGGGAGUGAAAACUUACAGCUUAACUGUGAGCGUGCUUCCGAUACGGGCAGACUUGAGGUAUUCAGGGGAGAACGGAAUUCCUGGUGUAGCGGUGAAAUGCGCAGAUAUCAGGAGGAACACCGGUGGCGAAGGCGGUUCUCUGGGACGGUACUGACGCUGAGACGCGAAAGCGUGGGGAGCGAACAGG
rnacentral:rRNA from 1 species